AAACCCUAGGUAAUCUAGAUCCAUACUAGCGGCAGCCUGGGAAAGGCCUCUUAUGGCAUCUGAGCAGGGCGUUGGCCGCGUUCCUUUUUUCCUCUCCAGGUAUCUAAAUUAAAGCCGUCUGCCAGCGUCUGAGCACCAGCAGCCACAGCAGCAGUGGCGGCGGCCGCAGCUGCCGUAAUACUGGUUACAGGCCCCCUGCACAAUAUAUUAGGUGAAAUGAAAGCAGCAGCAAGAGAGAGCGUGUCAGAGCUGUCUGAAGCAUCAUUCCAAAUGGAUGCUCUGGAAAUCUUAUGAAAUAAGCUGAGGAGAGCCUAUCAUGAACUAUAAUUGAUCUUGGGAAUUGAUGGCCCAAUAAAAGGAUACACGAAAUGUCA
ensembl:lncRNA